rnacentral:rRNA from 1 species
CCUCCUUUCUGAAAUAUCUAUUUAUACAUAUAAUUAGAUUGAAAGAUGGUUCUGCUAUCACUUACAGAUGGGCCCGCGGCGCAUUAGCUAGUUGGUGAGGUAACGGCUCACCAAGGCGACGAUGCGUAGCCGACCUGAGAGGGUGAUCGGCCACACUGGGACUGAGACACGGCCCAGACUCCUACGGGAGGCAGCAGUAGGGAAUCUUCCGCAAUGGACGAAAGUCUGACGGAGCAACGCCGCGUGAGUGAUGAAGGUUUUCGGAUCGUAAAACUCUGUUGUUAGGGAAGAACAAGUACCGGAGUAACUGCCGGUACCUUGACGGUACCUAACCAGAAAGCCACGGCUAACUACGUGCCAGCAGCCGCGGUAAUACGUAGGUGGCAAGCGUUGUCCGGAAUUAUUGGGCGUAAAGCGCGCGCAGGCGGUUCCUUAAGUCUGAUGUGAAAGCCCACGGCUCAACCGUGGAGGGUCAUUGGAAACUGGGGAACUUGAGUGCAGAAGAGGAAAGUGGAAUUCCAAGUGUAGCGGUGAAAUGCGUAGAGAUUUGGAGGAACACCAGUGGCGAAGGCGACUUUCUGGUCUGUAACUGACGCUGAGGCGCGAAAGCGUGGGGAGCAAACAGGAAUUAGAUACCCCUGGUAGUCCCACGCCGUAAAACGAUGAGUGCUAAGUGUUUAGAGGGUUUUCCGCCCUUUUAG